UAGGGAAUCUUCCACAAUGGACGAAAGUCUGAUGGAGCAACGCCGCGUGAGUGAAGAAGGGUUUCGGCUCGUAAAACUCUGUUGUUAAAGAAGAACAUAUCUGAGAGUAACUGUUCAGGUAUUGACGGUAUUUAACCAGAAAGCCACGGCUAACUACGUGCCACCAC
rnacentral:rRNA from 1 species